UGUUUAUGCUAAGUUUUUUCUGAACUUUUAAUUAAUAAUAAUUCUCUACUUAAACCAAACCGAUAAGCCACCCUUACCCCAACUUGGGCAACAAAACCUGAAAAGAAGUUACAAUACGAAAAACAGCACAAGGUUGCAGAAAAACUGACAGGUAAACAGGAACCAAAUACACAUGUGCCCACACAUUAUGCACUACAUGAUUCUCACUGUUACAUAGGAGCAUAAGUAGCUAAACAUCUCUUUGUGUUCAUUAAAGUUGCUAAAUCUCAUUUCAAGCAAGGUCCUGAAGCUUGAAUAUAUACAUACAUCAUAAAGUAUGAGCAGAUCACCAUGUUUAGCUGCUACCUUCAAUUUCCAAUCCCUUGCUACCUGGAACAUUGAUCCACUUAAUUUGAACCUCCACUUCACCACACUCUACAUUUCUCAAUCUGAGAUGCAUGUCCUGGGUGAUUUCGCCAUUGUUCCAAAUGAUAUGGCUCUCGUCAGCAAGGCAGUUGUCCACUUUUGGCGGAACCUUUUUUACUACACAGCCAUUUGGGAGAUUUUGCAAGCCCAUCUUAAGAAUCUCUAUAUAUGGUUUGAUGUCAAUUUCUGCAUCGCCCAUCUUGUCAUCCUCAGUGAAUGUGUCUUUGUCAAAAACUUCUAAUUUUAUUGGAACAUUCAAAUCUGUGAUGGAAAGAGUUAAUUCAUCAUUCCAUUCAGGGUUGGAGUUAUUUUUCUCCGUUCGAGUCUUCAGUUUCUGGUGUCCCGAGGUGACGACCACAUAAGGAUCGCUACCACCAUGAUCACGAACUGCUAGAUUUACCCCUCUUCUCACCCGAAUCCUAAGAAGACCAAGAAUGUUCUCCAUUGCCAAAAGCUUGAGAUGGAAACAAUUUCAGAUGACUCAAAAUUUUUCAAAAGGCAAUAUUAUAUAAAUUAGGCAAAAAAAAAAAAGGGAAAGGAAAAAAAUUAAUGGGCAAUCUGAGGAAUGUAAUUGCUGAUUGCAACGCGU
rnacentral:misc_RNA from 1 species